rnacentral:rRNA from 1 species
AGGAUGAACGCUAGCGGCAGGCUUAAUACAUGCAAGUCGUGGGGGCAGCAGGACUGUAGCAAUACAGUUGCUGGCGACCGGCAAACGGGUGCGGAACACGUACGCAACCUUCCUUCAAGUGGGGAAUAGCCCGGCGAAAGCCGGAUUAACUACCCCGUAAUAUUAUGAGGUGGCAUCACCUUAUACUUAUAGCUCCGGCGCUUGAAGAUGGGCGUGCG